rnacentral:lncRNA from 1 species
GCUGGUCCACGGAAACCCGCCCACUGCAGUAAGCUAAAUACAUAACCCACCAAAUCAAUAAAAUUUCAGCAACAUAACAUGGCUAAUAUAGUACUAUCCAACCUAUCAAUGUAAGACAAAACAAGUUAUAUAAUUCACAAAACCACAAUUUCAGCCAUCCAUGCUACCACAAUUUCAUAAGCCAUCAAUUCAAAUCAUGUAUAUAUAUAUAAUACAAAUGUGAUUUUCUUGCUUGUUUUUCCUUCUAAACAUCACAAAAUGACUAAAAACACUAGGAUAUUAUGAAAUCUAGCAAAAUUCAUCACCAAAACUUCUCUCUCUAGGUUUGGCCAGCAAAGGUUCCCUCUUGAAAACUUGAAUUUCAGCCAUGGAGAAUGAAAAAGAAUGCAUGGGAAAGGUAAAUCACAAAUACAUUCUAAGGUAAAAUAUUUUUUUUAUAUUUUAUAAAAAUUCUCGAAUUAACUCCAAAUCAAUCCUCGAAUUUCGAAUCAUCAUAUUAAGACAUUCUAAGAUUCAAUAACUCUUAAAUACAUCGUAAAAUCUUUAUUUGGCCUAGUUCGAGGCUUUAAUCAACUUAAUUGUACCACUAGGUACAAUAUCGACUUUUAACGAUUUUCCAAUACAUUCACUUAUACAAACAUUCUAUCAAGCACAUGAAUGACAUGACAAGUAUAUAAUAGAGUAGGGCUUGAUAGCACUACCCCCCUUAAAGUAAAAUUUUGACCUCAAAAUUUCACUUAUCGGACUCAGAGAAAAGAUGCGGGUAUUGGUUUCUCAUCUGGUGCUCAACUUCCCACGUCAUCUCCUCUAUCUGAGCAUUUUUCCACAACACCUUAACCAUUGGAAUGUUCUUGUUCCUUAACACUCGAUCCUUUCGGUCUAAAAUACGUACAGGUUGCACCUCGAACUUUAAAUCUUCUUGCAACUUAAUCGGAGGUGCCUCGAGAAUAUGGGAGGGAUCAGGUACAUACUUCUUCAACAUCGAGAUGUGGAAGACAUUGUGAAUUUGAUCUAACUCCGGGGGUAAUUCUAGUGUAUAUGCCAUUGGCCCAAUCCUUUCAAUAAUACGAAAGGGUCCAAUGUAUCUUGAAUUGAGCUUUCCUCGCUUUGCAAAAAGGAUCACACCUUUCAUUAUCCAACAAGAUACCAUAAUUUACGACAAUAAUAUAAUCAAAUAAGACUUAAUACCUCAAAGUAUUCAAAUCAUUACAUUUAUAAGGAGAGACCUUAAGAAAAACUCUAUCAUCAACUUCAAAUUCUAAAUCUUUUCUCCGUCUAUCAGAGUAACUCUUCUGCCUGUCUUGAGCUGUCUUUAAUCGCUUUCGGAUAACCUUGAUCUUGUCAUUAGUCAAAUCAAUCAGUUCUACAUUAAAUAAUUUCCUCUAACACACUUCAUCCCAUCAAAGUGGAAUUCGGCACUUUCUCCCAUACAAAGCCUCAUAUGGUGCCAUCCCAAUACUAAAUUGAAAACUGUUGUUAUACGCGAACUCCACCAACGGCAAGUGUCUGUCCCAACUCCCAGUAAAGUCAAUGACACAAGCCCAUAGCAUAUCCUCUAGAGUCCAAAUGGUCCUUUCAGAUUGACCAUCUGUCUGUGGAUGAAAGAUAGUGCUAAACCUCAAAUUAGUUCCAAGAGCCUCUUAAAAUUUUGGCCAAAAUUGAGAAGUGAACCAGGGGUCUCGAUCUGACACGAUAGAAACUGAAACUCCAUGUAAUCUCACUAUCUCAUCUAUAUAAAACUUAGCCAGUUUCUCAAUGGAAUACGUGCUAUGGAUAGCCAAGAAAUGGGCGGACUUAGUCAAUCUAUCCACAAUCACCCAUAUAGCAUCCUUCCCACUCUGUGUCCGCGAUAAACCCAAUUCAAAAUCCAUAGUCAUGUGCUCCCACUUCCAUUCCGGGAUAGGUAGAGGUUGAAGAGUACCCGAUGGUUUAUGAUGUUUCGCCUUAAUUUGUUGGCAUGUGAGACAUUUCGCUACAAACUUUGCUAUGUCUUGUUUCAUACCCGGCCACCAGUAACUUUCCUUGAUAGUCUUGUACAUUUUGGUGCUUUUGGGAUGUAAAGCAUAGGCGGAAGAGUGAGCUUUCUCCAAAAUAGCUCGUCUCAACUGGUCAUCCUUAGGGACACAAACUUGGCUCCCAAGCAUAAAGAUACCAUUAUCACCGAGUCUAAACUCACUAGUUUCUCCGUCUUGCAACUUUUGAACUUCUCGUUUUAACUCAUCAUCAGACUUUUGUAAUUCCUUGAUUUUAUUCAACAAUGAGGGUCUCACAACAAAACUAGCAAGUAGGGUUCCAUCCUCGCCAUUAGUCAACUGGAUCCCUAAAGAUUUCAUCUCACGUAGCAUUAGAAAAUAAGAAUUUCGAAGUGAUGCUAACGAAGAUGAGGAUUUACGGCUUAAGGCAUCUGCUACAACAUUUGCUCUCCCCGGAUGAUAAUCAAUUACUAAGUCGUAAUCCUUAAUUAACUCUAACCAUCGUCUUUGUCUCAAAUUGAGUUCUUUUUGGGUGAGCAAAUAUUUCAAAAUUUUGUGAUCUGUAAAGAUCCGACAACAUUUGUUGUAUAAGUAAUGCCUCCAGAUUUUCAAUGCAAAGACUACUGCUGCCAACUCCAAAUCGUGGGUAGGGUAAUUCAUCUCGUGUUUCUUCAACUGUCGAGAAGUAUAAGCUAUUACUUUCUCAUCUUGCAUUAACACACACCUUAAUCCUAAUUUGGAGGCAUCAUUGUACACCACAAAUUCUUUCUCACUAACAGGUAGUGUUAAAAUCGGAGCGGAGGUCAACCGAUUCUUUAGCUCCUGAAAUCGACUCUUGCAAACGUCAUCCACUCAAACUUGACUCCUUUACGAGUUAGACGAGUCAGAGGAGCAGCUAUCAAUAAGAACCCUUGAACGAACCUCCUAUAAUAAUCGGCUAAACUAAGAAAACUUUAAAUUUCUAUUACCGUUUCGAUUGCUCCCACUGUACGAUGGCCUCUAUCUUCUUGGGAUCGACAUAAAUUCCAACUCCAGACACAACAUGUCCCAAGAAAACCACUUCCUUCAACCAAAACUCACAUUUUGAAAACUUGGCAUAAAGUUGUUUCUCACGUAAGGUUUGCAGUACAAUGCGCAAAUGGGCAACAUGUUCAUCAUUAUCCUUUGAAUACACUAGAAUAUCAUCUAUGAACACUAUCACAAACUUAUCCAAGUAUGGGUGGAACACCUUGUUCAUGAGGUCCAUAAAAGCUGCCGGGGCAUUAGUCAGCUUUGAAUUCUUUCUCACCAACUCUUAUCCCACAAUCUUUGUAACAGGUGUUUCUAAUCAACUAUUCCCCUAGAGGGGUAUGAACUACAAUUUCCUCCUCUAAAGGUGACAGGUUUCUAUCAGAAAAGGAUGAAAAUGUUAUGCUGACAUAAGAUCUAUAAGAAGAAACAGAACGAGUUUAGACAACUUUAGGUCCUAUAUGCAGAUGCAUACAUUCAACUCGAUCUAACUUAACUUGGGGCCACACUGACACUAUAAUUUUUAAAAUAACAUUAAAACCAAAGCUCUGAUACCAAUUGACUUGUCACGACCCAAAAUUUCCAUUGAGCCCGUGACAACCGUCGCGAUGUCUUGAUUGACAUUCAUUACCCUAAAUGCCAACCGAAACCUCGCAAGGCUUUCGCAUUAGUUUACUUCUCUUCUGUGAGCAACAGUUAUUAAAUACCAUGUUUUAAGGAAAUAUAGACUAAUUUCAAAUAAAAAAUAAUCAAAAAGUAAUUUCUACUACACGGGGGUAUUUUGGUCAUUUUAUCCAAAUUUUUUGAACCCUGGUAAAAAUAUGAUAUAUGAGUAAUAAGCAUCCAUUUCAUGUCUAAAAAUAAGUUUCGUUGUCUAAUUCAUCAAUUUAAAGUGAAAUUAUAGCUAUUCAAAUUAAAUAAAAUAUUAUAUUUUCUUAUAAAACAAUAUUUAUAGAGCUCUACGUAAAUAAUUUUUGUAGCGUAAAAGCAAAAUAAAUUCAUACAUAUAGUGGCACACGCAGCCAAGUAUACAAAAUAUUCUACAAUGACAUGUGGGACCCCAAAAUAAACAAAUAUGUACAAGAAGGUAGACCUUCGAUAUCUAAGGAUGUAAAUCCAAAAGUAGAUCCUCGACGAAAUCAGCUAUCUAUAGACUAUCUUGAGCCUGAAAUGGUUAAAAAAAAGAAGAGAUGAGUUUUUAUGAACUUAGUGAGUAAGUAGAGUUCGUCUGUAGCAUCUAAAGUCAAGUAAAUGGAGACAGUUAAAUCAUCCCAUUAAUAUAUAUAUAUAUAUAAUUCAUAGCAUCAAAACCCAUUUCAAUCCAUGUAAAAACAAUCACAUUUCAUCAAGAAAAUCAACAAGGCUUAUGACUUUCUUAAAAACUUGGCUUGUGCCAAAAAUUAGUACUCGAUGAUGCCUUGCGCCGGGCAUCCAACCGAGUUUGCCAAGGCAGUUAAAAAGACAUAUACACAUAAAACAUGUUUUUACGUUUAAAAACACAGCCGUUCCUUGGCGUUGGUUGAGUUUCACUUUCACGUGGUGGUUCGGCGUGAAGUGAACUCUAAACUUUACCUUAGGAGAUACCCUCCGCGCCUCUCAUACUAAGGUAAAUAUAACGGGGUUUACCGUGCCCCUUUAAUAAGCUGGUCCAAGGAAACCCGCCCACUACAGUAAGCUAAAUACAUAACCCACCAAAUCAAUAAAAUUUCAGCAACAUAACAUGGCUAAUAUAAUACUAUCCAACCUGUCAAUGUAAAACAAAACAAUUUAUAUAAUUCACAAAACCACAAUUUCAGCCAUCCAUGCUACCACAAUUUCAUAAGCCAUCAAUUCAAAUCAUGUAUAUAUAUAUCUAAUACGAAUGUGAUUUUCUUGCUUGUUUUCCUUCCAAACAUCACAAAAUGACUAAAAACACUAGGAUAUUAUGAAAUCUAGCAAAAUUCAUCACCAAAACUUCUCUCUCUAGGUUUGGCCAGCAAAGGUUCCCUCUUGAAAACUUGAAUUUCAGCCAUGGAGAAGGAAAAAGAAUGCAUGGGAAAGGUAGAUCACAAACUAAAAUAAAAAAAUCUUACCUUUACUUGCUUAAUUCCUUGAAAUCCAACAAUUUCUCUUGGAUUUUUCCUUCCUAGGGUUUGUUCUUCUCUUUUUCUCUUUGUUCCCUUGCUUGGCUGGCCAUAAGAGUGUGAAUGUGAGGGUUUUAAGUGAGUUUAUAUAGGCAAUUAAAAUAAUAUUAAAGCUUGACACUUGUCAGCUUUUAAUUGGUCCAUGUUUAAAAACUUAAUAAUUAAGCAUUUCAUUCCCACCACAUAUAAUCUCUCACUUAAAAAAAUAAUGGAUGAAAUUCAUGGGUUUGACAAGUGUCAUGGUGGUGUAAAAUUCCAAAAUUUCCAAUUUCGUCCUCAUGGACACUUAAAAUGACCAUUUUGCCCCUAUGUUCGAAAAAAUAUCAAAAUUGAAAAUUUUCACUUCUCAAAUUUAAAUAAUGCUCUAAUUAAUCAAAUUUAGUCAAAAUAUCAUCCAACAUUCCAAUUUUUCCCUUGGGUGGCAAAAUGACCAUUUUACAAUAUAUAAUAUAAUGUGCAGUAUAUACUGUUGCAUGAUUGGAAUUAAGCCUCAACCAAUCCCAAUUGGCUGUAGGGCUCAUCCCAACAAUAACAUCUUUGGGUAGCACCUGUUUUAGUUUCUCCACAUCCCAUAUACCAUUGUAAUAAAAAUGAUUGACUUUAGUCAUGGAACCUACAUAGUUCGAAAACAAAUUUACCAAAGGAUUCUCACCCAUCCAACAAUCAUGCUAGAAGAAAAGCUCUCCCUUCCCCACUUUCCAUCAAAUGUAAUAUUCUGCAAGCUGACAACCAUGUAAAAUACGUUUCCAUACCUGUGAGUCAUGUGGUUUCGGAUGAGCAAGCAUAGGGAUUUGGCCAAAGGAGCAUUUAGUCUGCAUAAACCAUGUCCAAAGAUUAUUACAAGUUCUGAACCGUCGUCAAAGUUUUGUUGUGAAAGCCUAAAAAACAUCCAUCAAUUUUCUAAUUUCCAAGCCACCUUCUACAUAAGGAGCAGUAUUUUCAACCAUGAUGCUUAGUGAAAUCAUUUUGAUUCAGCCAAGCUUCCCCAAAAAAAACUGUUAAACAACCUUUCAAUUUUUUCAAUUACACCCACUAGCGACUUAAGAACCUAAAGUAAGUAAAUAGGCAAGGAUGAUAAGACACUCUUUAUGAGAGCAAUGCGACCCCCUAGAGAUAAAAUUUUGUUCUCCUACCCAAAGAUACUAUAUCUUAUCUUCAAAAUUAAAUCAUCAAACAAGAUCAUUUUCUUAUGCCUUUUGUAUAAUGGAGCUCCCAAAUAAGUAAUAAGGAGGCAUUUAUAAGCAAACCCUAUAGUUCAAGCAAUAAUUUACCUUUUACUAUUCACAAUAGGCAUGAGUUAUAAAAUAACUUUUUGGAUGGUUAAGACUUUGCCCUGAAACUUGUUCAUAUUCCUCCAAAAAGGACAAGAUUUUUUGUAAAGUCGAUUUACUUCCAUUGGCAAAGAUCAACACAUCGUCUGCAAAUGCUAGAUGGCUUAUGGAUAAUGAGCAUAAAAAAUUAUAUUGAAGAGAUGUAAAUUGAAAAAAUAACAUAUUUAAUCCUCUAGAUAAAUAUUCAGCAGAUAAUAUAAAUAAGAGAGGAGAAAUAGAAUCCCCUUGCCUCAGCCCAUGCUCUGAUUUAAAAUAACCCACCAAUUGACCAUUAAUAAGCAAUGAAAACCAACAAUUGGAGAUGCAUCUCUGAAUCAUAUUAAUCCAUUGACCAAAAAUCGAAAUUGUUCCAUCAUGAGAUAUAAAAAUCCCAAUAUAAGUGAUCAUAGGCCUUCAUCAUAUCAAGCUUGAAGGCUUCAUUACCUCCAUGAGUUUUGUAAUCAAUUCUCCCCAUCACUCCUACGCCAAAAGGAUAUUUUCUAUCAAGCCCAGCUUUAUAAUAUACUUCCCAUGUCCUUCAUGCACUUGAUAGCAUGUCUGCAUACUUGGAUGCCUCGGAGAAUCGUUAAAAGUCAGUGUCGUACCUAGUGGUACAAUUAAGUCGAUUAAAAUCUUGAACUAGUUUGAAUAGAGAUUUUAGGAUGUAUUUAAGAGUUAUUGAACCUUAGAAUGUCUUAAUAUGGUGAUUUGGAGUUUGAAGAUUAAUUUGGAGUCAAAUUAGGAAUUUUCAUAACGUAGGGGCAAAAUGGUCAUUUUGCCACCUAAGGGCAAAAUGAGAAUGUUGGAUGAAAUUUUUGAUCAAGUUUGACUAAUUGGAGCAUGAUUUGAAUUUGAGAAAUGAAAAAUUUUAAUUCUGACCAUUUUUCGAACAUAAGGGCAAAAUAGUCAUUUUACGUGUCCACGAGGACGUAAUUGGAAUUUUUGGAAUUUUACACCACCAACACUUGUCAAGCCCAUGAAUUUUACCUAUUAUUAUUUUAUACUUUGGAUAAUUAAGAGAUUACAUGUGGUGGUGAGAAAAUGCUCAAUUGUUAAGUUUUAACCAUAGACCAAUCACAUGGUGACACAUGUCAAGCUUUAAUAUUUUUAUAAUUUCCUUUAUAAACUCUCCCAUUUCACUCUUCAUGGCCAGCCAAAGCAAAGAACAAAGAGAAAAGAAUGGAAACAAACCCUAGAGAAGAAAAUUCAAGAGAAAUUUGUUGAAUUUCAAAGAAUAAAGCAGUCAAACGUAAGAUUUUUCAAUUUUAGCUUAAAAUCUACCUUUCCCAUGGUUUCUUUUUCAUUUUCUAUGGAUGAAACAAAAGUUUCCAUAAGGUAAUACUUGCUGGCUGAACAUAGGGAGAGAGGUUUUGAUGGUGGAUUUUGCUAGAUUUCAUGAUAUCUUAGUGUUUUUAGUUGUUUGAUGAUGUUUAGCAUGAAAACAAGCAAGAAAAUCACAUGCCCUUCAACAACCCUCUUUGGCCGAAUUUUAUAAAUGACAUGUUGAUGAUGGAUUUUGUUGUAUUUCAUGUUAUUUAGCUCGUAAUUGAUGAUUUAUGGUAUCGGAUAUCGAAAACGGCUAUCAAAAAGUAUAGUUCCUUUAGUAAACGACUUGAACAAUAACGAGAAAAUCAUAGUGAAUGGACUUGGAUUUGAUUCUUAAUGAUAUAGAUGGAUUUAUUGGACUGUGUUAACACUGAUUAACACGUUAGUUCGGAAUCGAAAUGAAUUUCGGUUACGAUGAAUUAAGUCAUAAUCAAGCUCAUUAAGGUACUUUGGUGUAUUUGGAAUAUUGGAAGUGUAAUGAAGAUAUUUGAAGUUGAAUCGAAUGUUUUGGUUAAUUCAACAGUGUAUAGUUCGAGUUAGGUCGAAUACAAAUUCAGUCCGAUCAUAAUUGAACCCACGCAGAACACCAUCUGUAAGUGAUUAUUCAAACAAUUCUCAUUCAAUUUCAUGCAUUCAUAUAGAGCCUGAAAUAGUUUUAGAACAGUUUCGCACAAAUAUAUUGAAUUACGUGUUGUGUAUUAUGUAUAGGUGAUGAGCCCUCUGACAAGAGUAAAGAUAUCGUACCCGAGGACCAAGAAUAGGAGUACUCCAAACUCCCGUUAUUGUGAGUAAUCAAAUGUUCACCUUAACUAUCUAAAGUAGUUUAUACUCGUUUUUAUGAUUUUAAAGAAUAAUGAACUUAAACCGUAGAUUUUAUGUUUUUAUGAUAUAAAGUAGUGUUGGUUAAAUGAAUGAGAUUUAUAAAUUGUUUUGCAAUUCAAUGAUGAUUUUGAAAAUUGAGUAGGUGGAGACUAUAUACUUGUGUUAUUUAUAUAUAUAUAUAUGGUUUAAAUUGAUGGCUUAUGACAAUGUGAUGGCAUGAAUGGUUGGAUUUGUGGUUUGUGGAUUAUAUAAAUUGUUUUGUUUUACCUUGACAGGUUGGGUAAUAUUAUAUUAGCCAUGUCAUGCUGUCGAAAUUUUUAUUGAUUUGGUGGGUUAUUUGAUUAGCUUACUGCAAUGGGCAGGUUUCCGUGGAUCAGCCUAUUAGAGGGGCAUGGUAAACCCCGUUAUAUCUUUCCUUAGUACGAAAGGCACGGAGGGUAUCUCCUAAGGUAAGUUUAGAGUUCACUUCAUGCCAAACCACCACGUGAGGAUGAAACUCAGCCAACGCCAAGGAAUGGCUAUAUUUUAAAAGUAAAAACAUGUUUUAUGGGUAUAUGUCAUUUUAACAUUCUUGGCAGACUUGGUUGGAUGCCAGGGCUAAGAUGUCCCCGAGUAUGAGUUUUGGCACAAGCCAAGUUUUUAAGAGAAUCAUAAGCCUUGUUGAUUAUUUUGAUGAAAUGUAAUUGUUUUAUAUGAAUUGAAAUGAGUUUUGGAAUGUUAUGAAUUAUAUUAUGAUGGGAUGAUUUAACUGUUUUCAUUUACUCGGCUUUAGAUGUUAUAGAUGUACUUUGCUUACUCACUAGGUUUAUAAAAACUCACCCCUUCUUUUACCCAUUUCUGGCUCAAGACAAUCUGUAGACAGUUGAUUUUGUCGAGGGUUGCUUUUGGAUUUGCAUCCUUAGAUAUCGAAAGUCUAUAGUCUUGUAUAUUUUUGGUUAUAUUGAGGCCCACAUGUCAUUGUAGAAUAUUUUUGUAUACCUGGUUUAGUGUGCUAUUAUAUAUAUGAAUUUAUUUUACUCUUACACUACAAAAAUUAUUUAUGCAAGAUUCUAUAAAUAUUGUUUUAUAAGAAAAUGGAAUAUUUUAUUUAGUUUGAUUAGCCAUAAUUUCAUUUUAAAUGGAUGAUUUAGAUUACUAAAAUUAUUUUUAGAUAAGAAAUGUAUAUUUUUCGAUCGUAUGCUAUAUUUUCACCAAGUUUCAAAAUUUUUGGGUAAAAAUGACCAAAAUACCCAUGUGUGGCGAAAAUUACUUUUUGUUUGUUUUUUAUUUAAAAAUAGUUUAUAUUCCCUUAAAACAUGAUAUUUAGUAACUGUUGCUCACAGGGGAGACAUAAAAUUGAUGCAAGAGCCUUACGAGGUUUUAGUUGACAGUUCGGAUAACGAAUGUCUAUCGAGAUAUCGCGGCAGUUGUCAUGGGCUCGAAGGGAGUAUCGGGUCGUGACAAUUCGAUUGGUAUCAAAGCUUUUGAUUUUAAAAUUAUUUAAAAACUACAAUGUCAAUGUGGCCCCAAGUUAGAUUAGAUUGAGUUGAAUGCAUACAAUUGCAUAUAGAACCUAAAAUUGUCUAAAUUCGUUCUGUCUUUUCUUACAGAUCAUUAUGCCCCCUCGACGUGGGCUUCCACCUCUUUCUAGAUCAGUCGGGAGGGGAAGAGGUCGUUCUCAACAUCGUCAACUAGAUCCUGUAGAGGGGGAAUCGACUGCGUCUACUUUUCGGGCAACACUUGCUGUUGAACAAACUGAGACUCCUCCACAUCCUUCACCUCUUCCACCACUUAUUAGUAUUCCUAGUAUUCCUGCCAUGCCUCCUGAGGUAGUUCAGGCAUUGGCAGCUUUUCUCAUUGCUAUUAUUGGCUAGGCUCAGGCUGGUCAAGCUCCUCUUGUUGUUCCUCCCGCCGCUCCUUCAGUGCCAUCACCACCCCCACCUUCUGUUCCACCACAAGUACCUAAUGUCUCCAUUUCUAAGAAACUUAAAGAGGCUAGGCAACUCGGUUGCAUUUCUUUUACGGGUGAUUUGGACACAACUGCAGCUAAGGACUAGAUCAUUCAAGUAUCGGAGACACUUACUGAUAUGAACUAGAAGAUGAUAUGAAACUGAUGGUGGCCACUAGAUUGCUUGAGAAAAGGGCUCGUACUUGGUGGAACUCAGUGAAAUCUCGUUCUACUACUCCUUUAACCUGGUCGAAUUUUCUGCAAGAGUUCGACAACCAAUAUUAUACUUAUUUUCAUCAAAAGGAAAAGAAGAGGGAAUUCUUAAGUCUGAAAUAUGGGAGUUUAACAAUAAAGGAGUAUGAGUCUUGUUUUAAUGAGCUAAUGUCUUAUGUGCCCAAUCUGGUGAAGACUGAGCAGGAUCAGGCUAAUUACUUUGAGGAAGGGCUCCGAAAUGAAAUCAGAGAUCAUAUGACAGUAAUGGGUAAGGAGCCAUAUAAAGAGGUUGUGCAGAUGGCUCUACGAGUUGAGAAGCUCACGACUGAGAAUAAGAGGAUUCGAGCCGAGUUUACUAAAAGGAGGAAUCCAAAUAUAUCUUCUAACCAGCCCUCGAAAAAGGGCAAGGAUUUCUCAGCUUCAGGGAGUACUACCACUGUUUCAAUAGCAUCUACUUGACCCCCAUCUCAACAGUCGCAACAAAAGUCUCCUAGAUUCAGUAGAUUAGCGACGAGUGCUCCUAGGAAGAGUUCUAGGAGUUUUGACAGAUGCCGAAAUUAUGGGAGAUUUCAUACUGAGUGGUGUAGGGAGCCCGUACGAUGUUUUCAGUGUGGUUAGCAAGGUCACAUGAGGAGUGCUUGUCCGCAGUUAGGACAAGCUACUAUAGCUAUUUCAUCUCCAUAGGUUCUCACCAAUAUUCAGAAAAGAGAUUCUUUUAGGUCACAACCUAGAUAAGGUGUAGCAAUGCGGUCUGGUGUGGGGAGUAAUACCUCAGCGCAUCUACCUUUUAAACCACAUAGUCAUACUCUGACGAGAGUUUUUGCUGUGACAGAGGAAGAAACACGAGUCUGACCUAGUGUAGUGACAGGUACUAUGUUUGUAUUUGAUAGAUAUGCUUAUGUUUUAAUCGAUUUUGGUUCGAAUAGAUCUUAUGUGAGCACUACAUUUGCAUCCUUUUCUGAUAGAAACCUGUCACCUUUAUAAGAGAAAAUUGUAGUUCAUACCCCUCUAGGGGAACAGUUGAUUAGAAACACCUAUUACAGAGAUUAUGGGAUAAGAGUUGGUGAGGAAGAAUUUAGGAUUGACUUAAUUCCCCUAGAAAUCCAAGAUUUUGAUUUGAUAUUGAGUAUGGACUGGUUGACUACAUAUCGGGCAAAAGUGGAUUAUUUCAGGAAGGAAGUUGUACUUUAAAUUUCUGAGGGAGUAGAGAUUGUAUAUGCAGGAGAACGUCGAGUAUUACCAUCCUGUGUAAUCUCGGCUAUCAAAGUUUUGAAACUAAUGCGAAAAGGGUAUCUUACUUAUUUGGCACAUGUGAUUGAUACGUCAAAGAGGGAACCUAAGUUAGAGGAUGUCCCAAUAGUAAAUGAGUUCUCUGAUGUGUUUUCGGAUGAGUUACCAGGACUACCAACUGAUCGAGAGUUUAAGUUCACUAUUGAUUUAUUUUCGGGUAUCGCACCUAUUUUCAUUCUUUUGUAUCGGAUGGCUCCGGCGGAGUUAAAGGAGUUGAAACUCUAGCUACAAGAAUUGGUGGAUAAGGGUUUUAUUAGCCCUAGUACUUCUCCCUGGUGUGCGCCAGUCUUGUUUGUAAAGAAGAAGGAUGACACUCUUCGGUUAUGUAUUGACUACCGUCAGUUGAACCGAGUGACCAUCAAGAAUAAAUAUCCUUUACCAUGAAUUGAUGAUCUUUUUGAUCAACUACAGGGUGUUACGGUGUUUUCUAAGACUGAUAUGAGGUUUGGGUAUCAUCAGUUGAAGAUCAAGGAGCAGGAUGUACCCAAGACUGCUUUCAGGACUCGUUAUGUGCAUUAUGAGUUUCUAGUUAUGCCUUUUGGUCUGAUAAAUGCCCUGGCAGCUUUUAUGGACCUCAUGAACAGGGUGUUCCACCCGUACUUGGAUAAGUUCAUGAUAGUAUUCAUAGAUGACAUUCUGGUGUAUUUGAAGGAUAAUGAUGAACAUGCUACUCAUUUGUGCAUUGUGCUACAAACCUUGCGCGAGAGACAACUUUUGCCAAAUUUUCUAAAUGUGAGUUCUGGCUGAAGGAAGUGGUUUUCUUGGGACAUGUUAUGUCUGGAACUAGAAUUUAUGUCGAUCUCAAGAAGAUUGAGGCAAUCUUUCAGUGGGAGCAACCAAAAACGGUGACAGAGAUUCGAAGUUUCUUUAGUUUAGUCGGUUACUAUAGGAGGUUCGUUCAAGGGUUCUCAUUGAUAACUGCUCCUCUAACUCAUCUGACUCGUAAAGGAGUCAAAUUUGUGUGGGAUGAUGUCUGCGAGAGUCGAUUUCAGGAGCUGAAGAACCAGUUGACCUCUACUCUCGUCUUGACACUUCCUGUUAGUGGGAAGGAAUUUGUGGUGUACAGUGAUGCCUCUAAAUUAGGAUUAGGGUGCGUGUUAAUGCAAGAUGAGAAAGUAGUAGCUUAUGCUUCUCGGUAGUUGAAAAAGCAUGAGACGAAUUACCUUACCCAUGAUUUGGAGUUGGCAACAGUAGUCUUUGCAUUGAAAAUCUGGAGGCAUUAUUUAUACGGUAAGCGUUGUCGGAUUUUUACUGACCAUAAAAGUUUGAAAUAUUUGCUCACCUAGAAAGAACUCAACUUGACACAGAGAUGAUGGUUAGAGUUAAUUAAGGAUUACAAUUUAGUAAUUGAUUAUCAUCCGGGAAAGGCAAAUGUUGUAGCAGAUGCCUUGAGUCGCAAAUCCUCAUCUUCAUUAGCAUCACUUCGAAAUUCUUAUUUUUUAACACUACUUGAGAUAAAAUCUCUAGGGAUCCAGUUGAGUAAUGGCGAGGAUGGAACCCUACUUGCUAGCUUUAUUAUGAGAGCCUCAUUGUUGAAUCAAAUCAAGGAAUUACAGAAUUCUGAUGAUGAGUUGAAAUGGGAAGUUCAAAAGUUGCGAGAUGGAGAAACUAAUGAGUUCAAACUUGGUGAUGAUGGUAUCUUGAUGCUUGGAGACGGAGUUUGUGUCCCUAAAGAUGAUCAGCUGAGACAGGCUAUUUUGGAGGAAGCUCAUUCUUCUGCCUAUGCUUUACAUCCCGGAAGCACCAAAAUGUAUAGGACUAUCAAGGAAAGUUACUGGUGGCCGGGUAUGAAAUGAGACAUACCAGAGUUUGUAGCAAAAUGUCUUACAUGCCAACAAAUUAAGGCAGAACAUUAGAAACCAUCGAGUACUCUUCAGCCUAUACCUAUCCUUGAAUGGAAGUGGGAGCACGUGACGAUGGACUUUGUAUUGGGUUUAUCGCGGACGCAGAGUGGGAAGGAUGCUAUUUGGGUGAUUGUGGAUAGAUUGACUAAGUCUGCCCAUUUCUUGGCUAUCCAUAGCACGCAUUCCAUUGAAAAGCUAGCUAAGCUUUAUAUAGAUGACAUAGUAAGAUUGCAUGGAGUCCCAGUUUCUAUCAUGUCAGAUCGAGACCCCCGGUUCAUUUCUCAAUUCUGACCGAAAUUCCAGGAAGCUCUCGAAACUAAUUUAAGGUUUAGCACUACUUUUCAUCCACAGACAGAUGGUCAAUCUGAAAGGACCAUUUAAACUUUGGAGGAUAUGCUAAAGGCUUGUUUCAUUGACUUUACGGGGAGUUGGGAUAGACACUUGUCGUUGGUAGAGUUCGCAUAUAACAACAGUUUUAAGUCUAGUAUUGGGAUGGCACCAUACGAGGCUCUGUGUGAGAGAAAGUGUCGAACUCCACUCUACUGGGAUGAAGUGGGUGAAAGGAAAUUGUUUAAUGUAGAACUGAUUGAUCUGACUAAUGACAAGAUCAAGGUUAUUUGAGAAUGAUUAAAGAUAGCUCAAGACAGGUAGAAGAGUUACUUUGAUAGACGGAGAAAAGAUAUGAAAUUUGAAGUUGAUGAUAGAGUUUUUCUUAAGGUUUUUUCUUAGAAAGGUGUGAUUCGGUUCGUAAAGCGAGGAAAGCUCAAUCCAAGAUACAUUGGACCCUUUCGUAUUAUUGAAAGGAUUGGGCUAGUGGCAUAUAGACUAGAAUUACCCCCAGGGUUGGAUCGGAUUCACAAUGUCUUCCACGUCUCAAUGUUGAAGAAGUAUGUACUUGAUCCCUCUUAUAUCCUCGUGACACCUCCAAUUGAGUUAAAAGAAGAUUUGAAGUUUGAGGUGUAACCUGUAAGUAUUCUAGAUUGAAAAGAUCGAGUGUUGAGGAAUAAGAGCAUCCCAGUGGUUAAGGUGUUGUGGAAGAAUGCUUGGAUAGAGGAGAUGACGUGGGAAGUUGAGCACCAGAUAAGAAGCCAACACCCACAUCUUUUCUUUGAAUCCGGUAAGUGAAAUUUUGAGGUCAAAAUUUUAUUUUAAGGGGGGUAGUGUUGUCAAGCCCAACUCUAUAAUAUACUUGCCAUGUCAUUCAUGUACUUGAUAGCAUGUUUGCAUACUUGGAUGCCUCGAAAAAUCGUUAGAAGUCAAUAUCGUACCUAGUGGUACAAUUAAGUCGAUUAAAACCUUGAACUAGUUUGAAUAGAGAUUUUGGGAUGUAUUUAAGAGUUAUUGAACCUUAAAAUGUCUUAAUAUGGAGAUUCGGAGUUCGAGGAUUAAUUUAGAGUCAAAUUAGGAAUUUUCAUAACGUAGGGGCAAAAUGGGAAUGUUGGAUGAAAUUUUUGACCAAGUUUGACUAAUUCGAGCAUGAUUUGAAUUUGAGAAAUGAAAAAUUUUAAUUUCGACAUUUUUCCAAACAUAAGGGCAAAACAAUCAUUUUACGUGUCCAUGAGGACGUAAUUGGAAUUUUUAAAAUUUUACACCACCAUAACACUUGUUAAGCCCAUGAAUUUUACCUAUUAUUAUUUUAUACUUUGGAUAAUUAAGAGAUUACGUGUGGUGGUGAGAAAAUGCUUAAUUGUUAAGUUUUAACCAUGGACCAAUCACAUGGUGACACAUGUCAAGCUUUAAUAUUUUCAUAAUUUCCUUUAUAAACUCAACAUAAACUCUCCCAUUUCACUCUUCAUGGCNNNNNNNNNNNNNNNNNNNNNNNNNNNNNNNNNNNNNNNNNNNNNNNNNNNNNNNNNNNNNNNNNNNNNNNNNNNNNNNNNNNNNNNNNNNNNNNNNNNNNNNNNNNNNNNNNNNNNNNNNNNNNNNNNNNNNNNNNNNNNNNNNNNNNNNNNNNNNNNNNNNNNNNNNNNNNNNNNNNNNNNNNNNNNNNNNNNNNNNNNNNNNNNNNNNNNNNNNNNNNNNNNNNNNNNNNNNNNNNNNNNNNNNNNNNNNNNNNNNNNNNNNNNNNNNNNNNNNNNNNNNNNNNNNNNNNNNNNNNNNNNNNNNNNNNNNNNNNNNNNNNNNNNNNNNNNNNNNNNNNNNNNNNNNNNNNNNNNNNNNNNNNNNNNNNNNNNNNNNNNNNNNNNNNNNNNNNNNNNNNNNNNNNNNNNNNNNNNNNNNNNNNNNNNNNNNNNNNNNNNNNNNNNNNNNNNNNNNNNNNNNNNNNNNNNNNNNNNNNNNNNNNNNNNNNNNNNNNNNNNNNNNNNNNNNNNNNNNNNNNNNNNNNNNNNNNNNNNNNNNNNNNNNNNNNNNNNNNNNNNNNNNNNNNNNNNNNNNNNNNNNNNNNNNNNNNNNNNNNNNNNNNNNNNNNNNNNNNNNNNNNNNNNNNNNNNNNNNNNNNNNNNNNNNNNNNNNNNNNNNNNNNNNNNNNNNNNNNNNNNNNNNNNNNNNNNNNNNNNNNNNNNNNNNNNNNNNNNNNNNNNNNNNNNNNNNNNNNNNNNNNNNNNNNNNNNNNNNNNNNNNNNNNNNNNNNNNNNNNNNNNNNNNNNNNNNNNNNNNNNNNNNNNNNNNNNNNNNNNNNNNNNNNNNNNNNNNNNNNNNNNNNNNNNNNNNNNNNNNNNNNNNNNNNNNNNNNNNNNNNNNNNNNNNNNNNNNNNNNNNNNNNNNNNNNNNNNNNNNNNNNNNNNNNNNNNNNNNNNNNNNNNNNNNNNNNNNNNNNNNNNNNNNNNNNNNNNNNNNNNNNNNNNNNNNNNNNNNNNNNNNNNNNNNNNNNNNNNNNNNNNNNNNNNNNNNNNNNNNNNNNNNNNNNNNNNNNNNNNNNNNNNNNNNNNNNNNNNNNNNNNNNNNNNNNNNNNNNNNNNNNNNNNNNNNNNNNNNNNNNNNNNNNNGAGAGAUAUAUAUAUAUAUAUAUAUAUAUAUAUAUAUAUAUAUAUAUAUAUAUAUAUAUAGUUUGAAUUGAUGGCUUAUGACAAUGUGAUGGCAUGAAUGGCUGGAUUUAUGGUUUGUGGAUUAUAUAAACUGUUUUGCUUUACCUUGACAGGCUGGGUAAUAUUAUAUUAGCCAUGUCAUGCUGUCGAAAUUUUUAUUGAUUUAGUGGGUUAUUUGAUUAGCUUACUGUAGUGGGUGGGUUUCCGUGGACCAGCCUAUUAGAGGGGCACGGUAAACCCCAUUAUAUUUUACCUUAGUAUGAGAGACGCGGAGGGUAUCUCCUAAGGUAAGUUUAGAAUUCACUUCACGCCGAACCACCACGUGAGGAUGAAACUCAGCCAACGCCAAAGAAUGACUAUAUUUUAAAAGUAAAAAUAUUUUAUAGGUAUAUGUUGUUUUAACAUCCUUGGCAGACUCGGUUGGAUGUCCGGGCCAAGGUGUCCCCGAGUAUGAGUUUUGGCACAGGCCAAGUUUUAAAGAGAAUCAUAAGCCUUGUUGAUUAUUUUGAUGAAAUGUAAUUGUUUUAUAUGAAUUGAAAUGAGUUUUGGAAUGUUAUGAAUUAUAUUAUGAUGGGAUGAUUUAACUGUCUCCAUUUACUCGGCUUUAGAUGUUAUAGAUGAACUUUGUCUACUCACUGGGUUUAUAAAAACUCACCCAUUCUUUUUACCCAUUUUAGGCUCAAGACAGUUUGUAGACAGUCGAUUUUGUCGAGGGUUGCUUUUGGAUUUGCAUCCUUAGAAAUCGAAGGUCUACAGUCUUGUAUAUUUUCGGUUAUAUUGAGGCCCACAUGUCAUUGUAGAAUAUUUUUGUAUACCUGGUUUAGUGUGCUAUUAUAUAUAUGAAUUUAUUUUACUCUUACACUACAAAAAUUGCUUAUGCAAGAUUCUAUAAAUAUUGUUUUAUAAGAAAAUAGAAUAUUUUAUUUAAUAUUUUUAUUUAGUUUGAUUAGCCAUAAUUUCAUUUUAAAUGAAUGAUUUAGAUUAAUAAAAUUAUUUUUAGAUAAGAAAUGUAUAUUUUUCGAUCGUAUGCUGUAUUUUCACCAGGUUUCAAAAUUUUCGAGUAAAAAUAACCAAAAUACCCCUGUGUGGCAAAAAUUACUUUUUGUUUGUUUUUGAUUUAAAAAUAGUUUAUAUUCUCUUAAAACAUGAUAUUUAGUAACUGUUGCUCACAAGGGAGACAUAAAAUUGAUGCAAGAGCCUUGCGAGGUUUGGUUAACAUUUCGGGUAAUGAAUGUCUAUCGAGACAUCGCGACGGUUGUCACCGGCUCGAAGGGAGUACCGAGUCUGACAUUGUCACUAAUAAGGCGACAACCUAUGAAACCACUUUGGUUUUUCGAUAUUAGCAUUGGCAAAAUCUUAGCAUGAGGGUUAGCUAGAAGCUUGGUAAUUAUUUUGUUAAGAACAGUGCAUAAGCUCAUUGGCCAAAAGUCAUCCCAUUUAAAAGUAUUGCUUAAGUUGGGUAAUAACACUAAGGUUAUGGAAGUGACUCCCUUGGGCAUUGCCACUCCAUGGAAAAAAUCCAAGACCGCAUGAAAGAGACCAAGCGCUAUUAUAUCCCAGCAAAGCUUAUAGAAAUAAGAAGAAAAGCCAUCCGGUCUAGCAACACUAUUCUUGUCAAUUAAAAAAAUAGCUUUUUUCACCUUUUGCAUGGUAGGUUCUGCAUAUAGAUUCUCAUUAUCAAUUUCAGAUAAAGUGGUUGAAAUUAAUGAGGAAUUAAACCUGGACAAAUCUAUGGGUUCAGUUGUCAAAAGAGAGGAAAAAAAGGCCACUGCUAAUGAUUGGAUCAUAGCCUGAUCUUUAAUGAAGCUACCAUCACUGUUUUGAAUUUUAAAAAUAUGUUUUUACUCCCUUUUCUUUUGCAUCCGCAUGUGCAAGAACUUAGUAUUUCUUUCACCCUCCACCAACCAUUUCACACCAAAUAUUUGUUGCUAGAAAGCCUCCUCAACACUUAACACAUGAUUGAGAUUAGCAUCAGCAUUAUGCAUGGCCUCUUUAUUAACUGAAGUUGGAUCCUGUUGAAAAACAUUUUCACAAUAAUCUGCAUGUUUUUCAACUGCCUUUAGAUUACUAAAUAUAUCACCAAAAACAAACUUAUUCCACCAUUAAGAUGCUAUUUCAAUCGUUUCUAUUUGCCACAAAAUGCUUGCAAACCCGUACCCUAGAUAGGGAGUCGCCAAUUGCUUUCAAUUGCAAACAAAAAAUCAUGAUGUUUAGCCCAGACAUGUUGAACCAAAAGGAAAAAGGACCAUGUUGUGAAGCCAUAAAACAAGAAAUAAGCAAACGGCUAUUGUCUGAACCAUCCCUGUUAAGAUGUUGAAUUCUAACGGAUGAGCAAGAGUCUAUCCAUUGGUAAUUAUAUAACACCCGAUCAAGCCUUUGGUACAUGUGGUGAUUUGCCCAUGUAAAGGGAGAGCUUUCAAAACCUCCAUCAAGCAAACCACAAUCCAAAAAAGCUGUAGCAAAAUCCUCCAUGGAACCCUAAAUGUGGAGCAGCCCCACAAAGCCUUUCUUUUCUGUUUAGGAUCACAUUAAAAUCGCCUCCAACCACCCAAAGACAAUCUAUAUGAGUAGACAUAUUUCCAAGGCAAUCACACAAAUCAUGCCUCUCAGAUCGUGUAUGUUUAGCAUAUACAAAAGAAGCAGAAAUAGGGAAAGCCAACCAAGGAAAAGAAAGUCGUGCAUGUAAGCAUUGAGUAUGAUUAACUAUUAGUUCACAAGAGACUUCAUGGGACCAAAACAACCAUAUUUUAUUAAAACAAUUUAUCAUCGCUCCUUCAAAACCCAAUCUUUUCCUAAAGAAUUCUAUUUUAAUAGACUUAACCAUAGGUUCUAACACCACCAACACCUUCACCUUAUGCAUUAGCUGCAGUUUUUUAAUUCUUCUAAUGAUCACACUACUGAAGAUCCCCCUCACAUUCUAGAUGAGUGCACCUAUCAUGUAUAGGUUUGAGCGGGUAAACAUCCAGAGAUGGAAUUCAAAUCACUAACCCCAUAUUUUCCCCUAUUUUCUCCAUUCGAGGAUCCAUAUUUACUCAAAUCAAUUUGAGACUUACUCCUCUGAGAAAUGUUGAAUGUAAUGCUUGCAAGUGUCUAAGUAAAAAGAGUGACACAUUUUUUCAUUACUUAAAUGCUAUGCAGGAAGUUGUUUUGUUAGGUUGUACAAAGAACACCAUACGUGGUGUUAUGCAUGUACCUUGUAAAUGAUGUUUUACACUUGUGUUGCAUAGUUUAACAAGUGUUAAUGAUGUUUUCCAUGUGCAUGUAAACUGUCCUGUAAAUAUUUAUAGUGAAAACAAUGAAAUGUGGUGUGUUCUAAUGGUUUUUAUGCAAUCUCUGUUUCAUGAACAAAAUAGAGGCUAAUACCAGUAGCCUAUAUCCUUGUUUGACUGCAAUCUCAACAUGGUCUCAGAGCAUAAUUAAGCUCUUAAGGGACCGCAUAGACAGUUGAAUCCAAGAAACUCUUUCUCUGAAAUAAACCACACACUCACUUGAAAAACUAUGGCAUCUCCCUCUCCAUCAAAUAUUGCAUUUAGCUUUCAAUCACCUCCAAUGUUCAAUGAAGAAAAUUAUCCAAUCUGGUCUAAGAAAAUGGAGUCAUAUCUUAAGGGUCUGGACCUUUAGGAUGCUGUUGAAUUAGGAGCUAAAGUUCCAGCUAUAAAAUAUAAUGCAACCCCUGCUCAAGUUAAGCAGCACCACAAGGAUGUGGCUAAACGAUUUCGAGCCUUGUGUUACAUCUAAAAGGCUCUUACAGAUGUUAUGUUUGUAAGAAUUAUGGGGUGUAAGACUGCCAAAGAUGCUUGGGAAAGUUGAAAGUUCAUUUUAAAGGUUCUGAAAGAACUAAAGAAAUGUAGAUUAUGAACUUGACCAGGGAAUUUGAUACAAUGAGAAUGAAGGAUUCUAAGAAUGCAAAAGACUUCAUCAGCAGACUUAUGAGAGUUGUUAAUCAACUCAGACUCUCGGGAGAGAAUAUUUCAAAAAGAAAAGUUGUUCAAAAGGCCCUUGUAUCUCUACCGAAAAGAUUUGAAGCUACGGUUGCUUCUCUAGAAGGGAAUUCUCCAAAAUGUCACUAUCAGAUGUAACAUAUGCUCUUCAAGCUGCUGAACACAGGAGAGUCAUUAGAAGUGAUAGUGCAAUUGAAAAUGUCUUAUUUGCUAGAAUGAAAGGAAAGAUAGUGGGAGAGACAAGCACAAAAAAAGGUUCGAUUGAACAGGAAGAGAAAGAUAAAGGGGUUCAAUCUGUAUAUAGAAAUCAACAAAAGAAAGGCAAGGCUCAUAUAUGUUCUCACUGCAAGAGAAAGGGUCAUGCUGAGGCUAGCUGUCACGACCUAAAUUUUGGGCCAUGAUCGGCGCAUGGACUCAAUGGACGUAGUCCACUAAGCCCAAGCAAGCCUAUUAAUUUGACAUAUUCAUCAUUUCAUCAUAAACUGCUAAGUCAUAUAUCAUAACUUAGAAUCGAAAUAAUAUUGAACAUUGCCCCUCAUACUGGCAUACCAAACAAGUGUAUAUACACUAUCUACAACAUGUAUCUUAAUAAUUCACAUUAGGUUCGUUUAUACAUAACAAAAGAAGACUCGAUGUCCAGCGGAGAAACUUGACGAAUGUAUAGCUACUAAAUGCCGAGACACCUACCAAUAGUCGAGUCUACAAAGGUACCUCGACCUAGUUACCAGCUACCUCGUAAUCUGAAAACAUGAAGUUGAAAGCGGUGAGCAUAAACUCAAUGAGUGAACGAGAAAGGGAACAAGCAUACCAUAAGAAAUGUUUAACGAAAUCAUGAUGCAUUCAUUUUCUCAAAACAAUGCAAUUGUUUUGGCUCUUUUAAACCCCUCAUGCAAACCCCACAUGAGUAAAUCACUUUACAAAUAUCCAUGCUCAACUAUGGUACCAAAGAAAUGGGAAAUAUGGCAAAAACCCACAAGUUAGCAAAAUGGAUAGAAAGUUUCUCGCUGCAGCGAGAACCAGGUCUGGUGAAGGCCUUCAAACCCGAGAGUUUCUCGCUGCAGCGAGGAUCAGAACAUCAAGGAAAAAGUCUCAUUUUCCCUUAAAACAAGCCAUCUUGUUAAAAUAACAAUAGCAACAUGUAACACAUGUAAACUCCCAAAUUUCAACAAAUCAAAUGCUCACAUAUUUGCAUUUACAACCAUAUACCCAUUAUCAUCAUGCACACCAUCCCAUCAUCAUCAUCAUGCACACCAUCCCAUCAUCAUCAUUCCUAGCUCAUGGGCACUCCCUACUCGCACAUGGUUAGGUCAUCACCGGGUUAUGCGCACUUCCUACUCGCACAUAACUGAGUCAUCAUCGGGUUAUGUGCACUCCCUACUCACACAUAACAGGGUCAUCAUCGGCUUAUGCGCACUCUCUACUCACACAUAGCCGAGUCAAUAUCAUUACACAACAAUGUAUUCAUAUAUAUAUAUAUAUCAACACAAUGUGGUAGUGCAUGAAUCAAUAAUAGUCACAUGUCACAACAUGAAGACAAUCUACCAAAAGCUUGUUCCCAAGGCACUUGUUUCUAUGAAAAGCUGGAUAAUCCAUUAAAAUGUUUGACAAAUACAUUAUAUCCCCAAAACAAGUUUUUGAAAUGCAAGUCCACUCACCAGUAUUAGGAGUAGAAAUACUCCUAUUUUCAGUUCGCGGGUAUAGUCCUUUACCCGUAUCCAAUGGCUCACCACCUAGCCAUAAUCCAUGACACAUAUUCCAAUUAAAUUAUGUCUAACAGUCAUAAGCUAUUUCAGGCUCAAUAUAUAUAUGAUAUGAAAUUAAAAAUGCACAAGUAGCCAUCUAGACCCGGUAUUGGCCUAAGUCAAUUUUUCAUCCGAUAAAUUGGCCAAUGAGUCCAAUUUCACUCCAACUUGCUCCAUUUCUUUUCCAAUCCCUCAAUUCACCAAGCACAAACUAAUUAACACACAAUUAGGCAAAAUUUAUCUUCAUUUUUCUUCUUGGAACUUUCGGCCAACAAUGGUACACCAACUCCGUGAUUUUUCCUACUUAAUUUCCUCACCAUUAUUCAUUAAUUCCUACACCAAAAACUAUUAUUUCUUAAUCAAAUCACCUAGAAUAACAUCCCAUUCUUCCUCAUUAUUCACUUAGAGAAUUCGGCUAUUGAUGGGCACCAAACCUUUGGUGGUUUUCUUCACUUGUUUUCAUGCUACACAUCAUUAAUCACCUAAAAACACUAACAUACCUAAAAAUCAAACCAAUCCAAGAUCAUUCUCUCUCCAUACCCAUUUUGACCAGCNNNNNNNNNNNNNNNNNNNNNNNNNNNNNNNNNNNNNNNNNNNNNNNNNNNNNNNNNNNNNNNNNNNNNNNNNNNNNNNNNNNNNNNNNNNNNNNNNNNNNNNNNNNNNNNNNNNNNNNNNNNNNNNNNNNNNNNNNNNNNNNNNNNNNNNNNNNNNNNNNNNNNNNNNNNNNNNNNNNNNNNNNNNNNNNNNNNNNNNNNNNNNNNNNNNNNNNNNNNNNNNNNNNNNNNNNNNNNNNNNNNNNNNNNNNNNNNNNNNNNNNNNNNNNNNNNNNNNNNNNNNNNNNNNNNNNNNNNNNNNNNNNNNNNNUGUAAUACGUAUCCAUUAAGCAAUCUCUCUCCACCACAUAAAAUGUUUCAAUUAUCCACAAUGUAAAAUGUUAAUGGCUGAAAUCCAUGGGCAUGACAAGUGUCAGGUGGUGUAAAAUUCCAAAAAUUUCCAUUUUGUCCUUGGGUGACAAAAUUACCAUUUUGCCCCUAGAACAUGAAAAUCAUCAAAAUUUUUAUUUCCUUGUCAUUUCACCCAUAUUUUCAUCAUUCAUUUAUGCUUUAGGCCUACUUAAGCCAUAAUAUUGUUUAAAACUUACUUUUAUGGGCUUAUUGAGAAAAUGACAAAAUUACCCCUAUUUAGGGAUAUCGCGUAUAUUUCUAUCUAUGAGUCUAUAAAGGUCAAGGUCUCACACUAGCUGUUGGUUUAGACCAAAUGUGAGGUGCAGAAACUGUAACCAAUUAAGGCAUGUACAAAGAGUUUGCAAGAACAAAGUCGAGACUCAAGUCAAGGCUGAUGAACUAGUUGAGAAGCUGAAACAACUUAAGAGCAUUUGUUUAUGGCUCAAACUAGAAAUUUAAAAACUGUUGAUGCAAACCUUUGGCUUCUAAAUAGUGGAGCUUCAAAUAACAUGACUCCAAAUGUGAAGCUAUUUGUUGAAAUAGAUGAUCAAUACCGUUCAAAAGUUGAGAUUGGGAACGGUGUUUAUUUGCAAGCAACAAGAAAAGAGUUAGUACCAAUUCAAACUUCCUCUGGUGCCAGGUAUGAGUUUGAAGUUCUCUUAGUGCUAGAAAUCACUAAAAACCUAUUAAGUGUAGGAUAAAUGCUUAAGCAUAAUUAUGUCUUUUUGCUUAAAAAUAUGUCUUGCACUAUUUAUGCUCCUAAUGGUGAUUAUAUGAUGAACAUCUCUAUGAAACAAAAUUGUUUCCCAGUGAACUGGAAAUAUGCAUGUUUGCAAGCAACAGAAGUUCAUUCAAAUUUGACUUCUCUGUGGCACAAGAGAUUUGGUCACUGUAAUUAUAAUUCAUUGAUACAGUUGAGUAAUUCAGGUCUUGCAAAUAACCUUCCCAAAUUAUCAGAAUGUGGCCCUAUUUGCCAAACUUGUCAACUUGGAAAAAUAGCUCAAAAGCCUUAUCCCACUACCAGUUUUAGCAAAUCAAAGGAUACGUUUAAUCUUAUUCAUUCAGAUGUUGGAGGUCUUCUAAGUGAAGAGUCAUUAAAUGGGAGCAGGCACUUUGUUACAUUUAUAGAUGAUCUGACCAGGUUCUGCUGAAUAUUCUUUAUGAAACAAAAGUUAGAAACUUUAAGUUGGUUCCAGAAAUGUAAAGCUCGAGCUGAGUUAAAGUUUGGUAUGAGGAUCAAGGUACUCAGAUCAGAUAAUGGUGGUGAGUACACAUCUCAAUAAUUUUCUCAAUUUUUAGAGAAGGAAGGGAUCUUUCACCAGCUAACAGCUCCAUAUUGCCCUAACAAAAUGGGGUAAGUGAAAGGAAAAAUCACACAGUACUUGAGAUGUGUAGGUGCCUGAUGCUUGAGAAAAAUAUGCCCAAAAGAUUUUGGGCAGAAGCAGCCUCGACAACAGUGUACUUGCUCAAUAUUAUUCCUACUCAAGCAAAGCAAAAUAUCACCCUAUAUAAAGCAUGGUAUGGGACCAGGCCUUCUGUAGAUCAUUUGUGAGUGUUUGGAAGUCUUUGUUAUCAACAUAUACCUGAGGAACAGAGAGAUAAACUUUAAUCAAAGGCUCAGAUUGGGGUUCUGAUUGGAUACAGCUUGAAGUCCAAAGCAUAUAAAAUAUUUCAGGUUAAAUCUGGUAGAAUUUCUAUAAUUAGGAAUGUUGUAUUUGAUGAGAAUAGAAGCUGGAAUUGGGAGCAAAGCCAAGCUACAGAUUUGAAUGAAUUUAUUGAUGUAUUAAACUAUCAACAUACUAAUUCUCAAAUUCUUGUUGGCGAUGAAAUAGUUGAUAAAGCUCUAGUUAGAGGAGUAAGGUCUAUUCAAAACAUUUAUGAGAGAUGUCAUAUGGCUAUCACAGAACCUAACUCUUAUGAAGAUACUGCAGUUCAUGAGCAUUGGGUUACAACUAUGAAGGAAGAACUGAAUAUGAUAUUCAAAAACAAAACUUGGUCUUUAGUGGAUAGGCCUAAAAAUCGACAAGUAAUUGGGGUCAAGUGGAUUUUUGAAAAAAGCUCAAUUCUAAUGGCACCUUAAAUAGGUACAAGGCAAGAUUAGUAGUAAAGGGCUAUUUUCAAAUACUUGGUAUUGAUUUCUAGGAAACUUUUGCACCAGUUGCUCGAUUGGAUACUAUUCGAUUGCUUAUAGCUUUGGCUGCUGCAUUCCAGUGGAAACUUUUUCACUUGGAUGUUAAAUCAACAUUUUUAAAUGGGAAGCUUGAUUAAGAAAUUUAUGUGGAGCAACCACUAGGAUUUGAACUCUGUUCUGGACAAGGAAAGGUGUACAGACUUCACAAGGCUCUUUAUGGAUUGAAACAAGGACCUCGUGCUUGGUAUAUGUCAUGACCCGGUACUCCCCUCAAGCUCGUGACAACCACCGUGGUGUCUCAAUAGACACUCAUCACUCGGAAUGCCAACCGGAACCCCGCAAGGCUUUAAUUUCAGUUUAUCAUUCCCCUUGUGAGUAAUCGUUGCUAAAUAUCAUGUUCUAAAAGAUUUUAAGUUAUUUCUAACUUAAAACAAUAAAAAAAUGAUUUCUGUCUCACAAGGGCAUUUUGGUCAUUUUCCAUGAAAAUUUCAAAAUCCGCUAAAAAUGUAGUAUGCAAGUACAAAACACAUAAUUCAUAAUAAAAAAUAAGUUUAAAUAUCUAAAACCUUCAUUUAAAAUGAAAUUAUAAUUAUUUGAAGAUAAUAAAAUAAAACAAAAGAAAUAUUUAAUAAAAUAUUUUAUUUUCUUAUAAAACAGUAUUUUUAGAGUUACACGUAAAUAAUUUUUGCAGCGUAAAAGCAAAAUAAAUUCAUACAUACUGUAAUACAGUAAGACAUAGUAUUUAAUUUAAUUUACAAUAACCAGUGAGCCCCCGAAUAACCAAAAGUAAGGGAGACUGUGAACCUACAGUUUGGAGGAUGCAAAUCCGAUAGUAGCCUCGAUGAAAUUAGCUAUCUAAAGCCUAUUCUGAGCCUGAAAUUAGUGGAAAGGAGGGUGGUGAGAUUAUACAAUCUUAUUGAGUAAACAAACAUUAUCUAAAAUAUCUAAAGUCGAGUAAAUAGAGACGAUUAAAAUAUUCCAUCUCAAUAUGUAUUUCAUAACAUAAAUAUUCAUUUCAUUUAAAUAAUCAACAUGGCUUAUGAGUAUCUUAAACACUUAGCUCCUGCCAAAAUUAUUCUCGAGAAUACCUUGGCCGAGGCAUUUAACCGAGUCCGCCAAGGUUGUUAAAAGUUAUAUACGCAUAAAUCAUGUUUUUAUUUUGAAAAACACGAUCGUUCCUUGGCGUUAGCGGAGUUCAUCAUCACGAGGUGGUUCGGCGUGACGUGAACUCUAGCCAUACCUCAGGAGAUACCUUACGCGCCUCUCCGACCGAGGUACAUGUAUAAUCGGAUUUCGUGAUCCUCUAAUAGGCUGGUCCACAGAACUCGCCCGCUGUAGCAAGCUAAACCCAUCAUACAAUAAAAAUUCAACAGCAUGACAUGGCAAUUUUAUCAUUAUCUAGCCUAUCAAGGCAGACAACAGUUUAUACAUUUCAACACAAAUACCAAUUCAGUCAUUCAUGCCAAUAUUGUCAUAAGCCAAUCAAUUAGAACCAUGAAUUCACAAUACAUCAAAUGGUCUCCAAUUACUCUAUUUGCAAAGCCAUCAUUCAAUUUCAAGACAAUUUAUAAAAUCAUUUUAUUUAAACACAUUUUGUUUAUAAAACCUAAAAAUUAACCAUUUAACUCAUUUUCCAUAAAUUCACAAAAUCGAAUAAAAAAACCACUUUAGAUAAAUAAAAUGAUGAUAAGGUUACUCACUAUUUCAGAAGUCAAAUUUUUAGAAUACUCCGACUAUCAAACUUCGGGUACAAUUUCUUUGCCUUUAUCGGAGGAUUCACCACCUAGACAUAAUGUACAAUCAAGCAAUUUACCACAUUGGUGCUAAAUCGUUAUAAAACUAUAUGGAUGCAUGAAAUGGAAUGCAAAUUGUUCAGAUUAUCAUCCAAACACGGUGUUCUACACAAAUUCAAUUGUGUACCUAAAUAAAACGGUAUUAGCCUAAUUCGAUCUAUCACUCGAUUAAAUGGCCAAUAUGUCCAAUUCAACUCCAAUUAACUCCAUUUUUCUUCCAAUUCUCCAAACCAUCAAACACAAGUCAAAUAACAUAAAAUUUAGCAAAAUUAUCUUUACAUUUUCUUUUGGAAAUUUCGGCCAUGGUGAGUGCAUCAACACUAUGAUUUUUCCUACUCGAUUUUCUCACCAUAAUUCAUCAUUUCCUUAUCAAUUCACUUGAAAUAAAAUCAAAAUCAUCAUCAAUAUUCCACAUGGAAAAUUCGGCCAAUGAUGGGUGAUGGGAGAAAAUGAAUUUUUCUUGUUAGUUUUUCAUGUUACACAUCAUUAACUACCUAAAAACACUAAAAUAUCUUAAAAUCUAACCAAAUCAAGCAUCAAAACUCCUCCCCCCAUGUCCGGCCAGCAAGAGACCCAUCAUGAAACCAUGUGAUUCAACCAUGGAAAAUGCAAAAUAAUGCAUAGGAAAGGUAGAUCACAAGCUAGAAUUAAAAAAUCUUACCUUUUUUUCACUUGUUUCCUUGAAUUUUCACUCUUCCCUUGAAUUUUUCCACCUAGGGUUUUUGUUCUUCCUUUGUUCUUGUUUUGGCCAGCCAUAUGAAGAGAAAUAGGCUGAUUUUAUGUUAAUUUAUAAGAAAAAUAUUAAAUGGAUGAGAAUUUGACAUAUGUCACCAUUCCAUUGGUCCAUGUGUCAUUCUUAUUCAUUAAGCAAUCUCUCUCCACCAUAUAAAUUUUCUCAAUUAUCCAUGAUAAUAUUGGGUAAAAUCCAUGUGCUAGACAAGUGUUGGGUGGUGUAAAAUUACAAUUGGCCCCUAGGGAGGCAAAAUGACUAUUUUACCCCUAUGCUCAAAAAAAUGUCAGAAUUAAAAUUUUUCACUUCUUAAACUCAAAUUAUGUUCUAAAUAGUCAAUCUUAGUCAAAAAUUUCAUCCAACACUCACAUCUUAACCUCGGGUGGCAAAAUGACCAUUUUGCCCCUAGGUCAUGAAAAUUCCAAUUUGACUCCAAAUCGAUCCUCGAACUCUGAAUCACCAUUUUAAGUCAUUUUGGGGUUUUAAAAUUCUCAAUUUCAUCUUAAAAUCUCUAUUUAGUCUAGUUCGAGGCUUAAUUCAACUUAGUUGCACCACUAGGUACACUAUCGACUUUUGACGAUUUUUCAGGGCUUUCCAAGUAUGCAAGCAUAUUGUCAAUCACAUGAAUGACAUGGCAAGUAUUUUAUAAGGUCUGGCUUGACAGUAUAGCAGGAUUAACACUUACCUGCUUGAUCAAGGAUUCCAAAAGAGUCCUAAUGAAGUAACUCUUUAUGUGUUAAAACACAACAAUAAGGCUCCACUAAUCGUAUCCUUCUCAAUAUAGAAGUCUUAUUGGUUGUCUUUUGUACCUAUGUGCAACAAGGCUUGAUGUUAUGUUUGUUGUCAGCUAUUUAUAUCGUUUUAUGCAAAAACCAAGAAACUGUCAUUUUGUUGCUGCAAAAAGAAUACUCAGGUACUUAAAAGGUACAACAUCUUAUGGUUUAAAGUUCACUCAUACAAAGACUGUUAAACUAUCAGGAUUUUCUGAUAGUGACUGGGCUGGAUCUCUAGAUGAUGCAAAGAGCACUUCCGGGUAUGUAUUCACUCUUGGAAAUGGCAUGUUUUCUUGGAGCUCCCACAAGCAAGACACGGUUGCUCAAUCUUUAGUAGAAGUUGAGUAUGUGGUUGCAGCUUCAGCAGCAAAUCGUGCAUAUUGGGUGAGGAAGGUUCUUCAUGAUCUCACUAUGCCUCAACUUGAAGCUAUUGAUUUGUGGCUUGAUAAUAAAUCUGCUAUAGCUAUGGCCAAAAACCCUGUCUUCCAUGGAAAAACUAAACAUAUCAGUGUGAAAUAUCAUGCUUUAAGGGAUGCUGAAAAGAAGGGUGAAAUUUGCAUCCAAUACUGUCCUUUUGAAGAUCAACUUGCUGAUAUAAUGACUAAAGCACUCAGGAAGCCAAUGUUUGAGUUUCAAAGAAACAAAUUAAUGGUUCAUCAAGCAAGCAUUAAGGGGGAAUGUUGAACGUAAUGCUUGCAAGUGUCUAAGUAAAGAGAGUGACACGUUUUUUCAUUACUUAAAUGUUGUGCAAGUAGUUGUUUUGUUGUGCUGUACAAAGAACACCAUACGUGGUGUUAUGCAUGUACCUUGUAAAUGAUGUUUUACACUUGUGUUGCUUAGUUUAACAAGUGUUAAUGUGUUUUCCAUGUGCAUGUAAACUGUCCUGUAAAUGUUUAUAGUGAAAACAAUGAAAUGUUGUGUGUUCUGAUGGUUUUUAUGCAAUCCCUAUUUCAUGAACAAAACAAAGGCUAAUAUCAGUAUCCUAUAUCCUUAUUUGACUGUAAUCUCAACAAGAAAAAGAAGGAUGAACUUCAAUGUCUUCACUACCAACAAUUGCACCAAAAGGGACACUAAUAUGUUCUUUAAUAACAGAACAUGCACCCUGUUCUUCCACCAUUUUUGAAUCCUCUUCAAUGCUGAUAUUGUAUGCAAUACUGGCCACCAGUCCAUAUGAGGUCCUAGGAGAGAUAUUUGUACCAUAAGCAUCUGGUCUCAUUUGCAUCUUAAGAGCAACAUCACCUCUUAGAGCUUUUCCAAGCGCUGGCUUCGAUCGAAGAAUGGGUGAACACUCAUCACUACUCUCUACAAUUUUUACUGCCCCAGUUUCAAGCGGAUCCCUCGUCCCUAGUUUUUCUACUCAUGGGUUUGGCUAUGAAUGGCAUGCUUAAAAUAUGCAGCAGAAAGAAAAUUAAAAACUUUAUAACUAAACAACAAAACAUGCCUCCACCCAUGGAUCACCUUGGUGAUAUUUAACACAUAAAAGCACAAAAUAAAUUAUUGUUUAGAAAGUUACCUUACCAUGUAAUUUCGUAAUCACAAUGGCACUUUCCGAAGCAAUCCCAUGAACACCACAAGGAGCAAAAAACCUAGCCAAUCAAGUACUUGGCUUCCAAUGGUAAUACACACGAUUGCACUUGAACCUUCAAUAAAGGAAGGAGUUUUUCACUAUAGUUGGUGCUAGCAAAGAGGACAACAAUUGUUCUUUUCUUCUUUUUCACAAUCUUAGCCGAACCUUUCUCGAAAAUUGCUUCAUAAGCAAUUUUCUCUUUCACACAAAGGGAGUGGUGGCAAAGAAAAAAAACAUUUUUCUUUUUCUGACACAAACUACAUUUUCUUCAAUUGUGAAAAACUCUCAUAUGUAAAAUAGUUAAAAGGUGACUUAUAUAAUUAGGUUAAAAUAACUUCAAUUUUGCAAUUAAGCCCUCAAUAUUAUAACACAUUAUAAUAUUGGACAUAUUACUUAAUUAAACUCUUUAAUUAAGUCCUUGGAAAUUAAAAUCAAAAUUAAUUUCCUUUAUAUUUUGUAAUCAAGGCCUUAUAGUUAUAACUAUUUAUAAUUAUGUCAAAAACUUAAUUAAACUCUUUUAAUUGAGUUUAUAGAAGUUAAUUAUCUAGCAUGUGAUUUAAGUCUAACUUAAAUCGACACUCUCUCAAUUUAAUUUAAAUGCAAUCAUCGUGUGUGACCCAUUAGGUUCCCAACAUGUUGGCAAUGGANUUAAUUAAGUCCAUAUUAAAAAUUCUUAAUUUCUAACUAAAUACUAGUCUUAUUUUAAUUCACAUUGUCAUCUUAUUAUGUGCCAUUAGGUCCCCCAACAUGUUGUUAAUAAAUAUAAAUCAAUUCAAUGAAAAUUUUAUUUUUAUAUUUAUAGAUUAUGAGUGACAUCUAGCAAUAUAUCAUGACCACCCAAAUGUCAAGAGAGUCAAUAUAAUUUGACUAAUCUUUCAGUGUAUAGUAUCUCAGUGUAAUUCGAUCCUUUCAUCAUAUAUCCGGAAUAGAUAAAAAGCCUCUCAGUGUCUACUUUUUAACUUAUCUAUAUUAGUCCUGCAGCUUCCAUAUUGACUUAUCAAGAUUGCCUUGGCCAAGGACUUUUAGUUAAUAUAAGUCAAGAGCAAAUGAGAUAUGUCCCUUUUAAAUCACUUAAGGUGAUAAAUCAUCUCUAUACUACUUAUUCAUCUUCAGAUGCUUCAAGCCAUACCCAAAAGCACACUGUUUAGGCAUCUAGUCACCUCUAGACUUGUAUGGGUGAAAUCAAAACAUGACAAUUCACAUACAGGAUGACUUAGUAUCACAAAUCUAAGGAUUACUUACACUAUUGACACAUGAAAGUAUUUUCAUAGACAAUUGAGUGAAAUACUAAAUGGAACUGUCAUAACAAGUCAUGUUCAGUGAACUUGUUUCCUAACAAGCACUCACAUACUAUCUUCAAGUAUCUCACAUAUUUCAACCUAUGAGAUAUGUUGCUUACUUUCAAAGUAAAGAAUAUAGAAUAUACUAGUUUUUAAGCAUCAUUGAUGUCCAAUCUUAAUGAUACAUUGACCAAGAACAUUUGAGAUUAUGCUUUGAUGCAUAAGGAUCUCAUAACUGCAACUUGUUACAGUUUCCUUGCAAGGCAUAUAAAUCUCAUGGACUUCAUCCAAUUAGACUUAUAACUCAUUAUAAUUAAUGUCUUAUUGAUGAAGCAAAACCUUUAAUCAUUCAACAUGAAUGAUGUUUUUGCAUGAUUGGAAUCAAGCCUCAACCAAUCCCAAUUGGCUGCAGGGUUCAUCCUAACAUCUACAUCAUGGCUUUUUACUGUAGGUUUUUUUUGCUUCUUUUUUUUCUUCCUCAUCGUGACGUUGCAUGCAUUCUCUACUGCUCAUUGGACGAAAUCAUGCUCCCCAAUAUUUUUUGCAGCAUCAAAUGAACCACGUUCAGCACAUGCAUGGGUGGACCCUCGGUGAGAAAACACUGCGACUAGAGACGUCGCCACAACAUUUGCACUUUGAGUCCCUUUCGAACCAUUUCCAAUCCAAGGCAUAUGAUCUUCCAUAUAUUGUUGUUCGUUUUGUUUGUUAUUCUGAACAAACUUCCAAGCUGGUAAGCCACUGACCAAAUACCAAUUUUGUGUACCAGUUUUCGAUUUACAUGUGCCCUCUGAAAGUAGUUGUUUGUUGUUAAAAUCCCCAACAGCAUCAACCCUCUUCAAGUAUUUUUUUUCUAUUAAGCAAUCACUGUUCACCCUCUCUAUUCGCCUCUGUUCCACGUUUUCAAUUAGUUCUUCAUCAACCUCAAACCCGAUUGCUACAAAUUUGUUAGAACUCCAAACCUGUAGAUCACUCAAGCUUUCUGAAUCUAUUUCCACCCUUUUGGAAUUCUUAGCACCGUUUUUCCCCAAGUUGUCCACUACUUGCCAUCGCAUACUUUGUUUCGUUGGUUCCUCCCAACUAAAGUUUUUUCUUUUAGAAGAUCUUUUCCUCCUCACUUUAGGGUGGUUUUCUCCUUCUUUUCGAAAGCCUUUGUAUUUUUAGAUUACUUGGAAAUGCCCAAUGGUUUCGGCUCUCCAUAUCUCAGUUUGUCUAGCUUAUUUCUUAAAACCAAACACGUUGAGAUACUGUGCUCUACAUGACAACAAUGAGUGCAGUAGGCUGGCAAUUUUGAGAACUCCACACGUUGUGAAUAACCACCAAUAAUGGCUCUUUUUUGUAUGUUCUUACUAACAACCCAUUAAAUGGCCCAUACUUUGAAACAGUGAUUAAUAAAGUUGAUCGGAUGCAAAUUGAGGUCAAUUAAAAUGUUUAAAAGUGAUAAAAGAUGAAAGGAAUAAUUUAUGAUAAAAUAUUCCGCAUGCGAGUAAAUAAUAAUAUUUUAUUAGAGGAGAAUUUGAGAGAUAAAAGGGUGAUUCGGAGGUCAAUUGAGGUAUAAUAAGGAACUUUGGCAACCAAGGAGACAAGAUAAAAUUUUUAGAAUAAAAUAAUAUUUUAUUAAUAAAAUAAUAUUAAAAUAUUAAUAUUUAAUCGGGUGUCGAAAUCAGUCAUGAAGAAGGAUCAUAUGGUUGAUCUAAGUAGGGGAGAAGAUGUCAAGCCUGACUCUAUAAAAUACUUGUCAUGACAUACAUGUGAUGGAUAGCAUGUUUGCAUGCUAUGAGAGUCCCGAAAAAUUUACAAAAGUCGGUAUUGUACCUAAAGGUACAACAAAGUUGAUUUAAGCCUCGAACUAGAUCAAAUAGAGAAUUUAAGAUGAAAUUAAGAAUAUUAAAGUCCUAGAAUGGUUUAAUAUGGUGAUUUGGAGUUUGAGGAUCAAUUUGGAGUCAAACCGAAAUUUUCACUAUCUAGGGGUAAAAUGGUCAUUUGCCACUUGGGGACAAAAUGAAAACUUUUAGAAAAGAUUUUUGGCCCUAUUUGACUUAUUGGAGUAUGAUUUGAGUAUUGGAGUAUGAUUUGAGGUUAAAAAGUGAAAAAAAUUAUUCUUGGUAUUUUUCGGAGCAUAGGGGUAAAAUGGUAAUUUUACUACCCCAGGGGCAAAACAGUAAUUUUCUACCCCCAGGACAUUUGUCCAGCACAUGGUUUUCCCUUAUCCUCACUUUCACCAUGGACUAAUCAUGUGCUGGAGAUAAAAAGGUUUAAAAUUUUUAAAGUUUUAAAAAUGGACCAAUGGAAACAUGCCACGUGUCAAGCAAAAAUACUUUAUUAUUUUUCUUAAAAAUCAGCCCAUAUUUAUUCCAUUUUCUCUUCAUGUGGCCGGCCAUAGUAAGAAAAAGAGAGGAAAGGAAAAAAAAAACACAAAACCUAGGUGGGAAAAUUCAAGAAAAAGUGUGGGAUUUCAAAGGAUCAAGCAAUCAAAGGUAAAAUUUCUUGAUUUUGACUUGUGAUCUACCUUUCCCAUGCAUUUCUCCUUAUUUUCCAUGGUUAAAUUUCAUGUUUUCAUGGUGAAUUCAUGGCUGCCCAAAUGGGUAUGGAGAGAGAAUGAAGUUAGAUUGAAUUGAUUUUAAGUUAUGUUAGUGUUUUAAGUUAGUUUAGUGCAUUUAGAAACAAAACAAUAAGAAAAGAAUUUAUUUUCCCCCAUCACCAUUAUUGGCCGAAUUUUCUAGGGAGGAUAUUGUGGCUGAAAUUGAUGAUAUUUCAUGAUAUUUUGGUGAUAUUUGAUGUUUAGUGAGGCUAGAAAUUAAAUGGGAAAUUUUGGUGUGAAAAUUUGAUUUUUUACCUAAUGUAUAGACAUGUGUGAUUAUUGACUCGAGACUGAUAAAUUGAAUCUCAUUCAUAGUCACUGAGGUAAUUUUGCUAAAAUUGGAGUGUAGAAAGUGAGAAGAAUUGAUUUGGAGUUAAAUCAGAGAUUUUAGCUGAUUAGGGCGAGUAUAGUGUGACUUAGGUAGAAUAUCACAUUUAAGUGAUUAAUUAGACAUUUUGCAUCCCAUCACAUGCAUUCAUUUAGAUUUAGAGAGCCUGAAAUAGUUUAUGAGAAAUUAACAUAAUUUAUUGAAAUUCGUGUCACGUAUGAUGUAUAGGUGGUGAGUCCUCUAACAAGGGUAAAGAGAUUGUGCCCGAAGAUCGAGAAUAGGAGUAUAUCGAACUCCUAAUAUUGUGAGUAACCUUACCAUCAUUUUUAUUAUCUAAAGUAUGUUUUUAAUCGAUUUUGGUAAAAUUUUAUAAAAAGGAGUUUAAAUAGUAAAUCUUUGUGUUUUACAAACAAAAUGUAUUUACAUGAAAGGAUUUUAUAAAUUGUCUUGAAAUCGAAUAAUGAUUUUGAAAAAUAGAGUAAUUGGANAAAAGGAGUUUAAAUGGUAAAUCUUUGUGUUUUACAAACAAAAUGUAUUUACAUGAAAGGAUUUUAUAAAUUGUCUUGAAAUCGAAUAAUGAUUUUGAAAAAUAGAGUAAUUGGAGACCACUUGUUAUAUUGUAAAUUUAUGAUUUGAAAUCGAAUGGCUUAUGACAAUAUUUGCAUGAAUGGCUGAAUUGAUAUUUGUGUUGAAAUGUAUGAAAUAUGUAUUUAGCCUUGAAAGGCUAUGAAUUACAAUAAUUGCCAUAUCAUGUUAUUGAAUUUUAUUGUAUGGUGGGUUAGCUUGCUGCAGUGGGCGGAUUCUGUGGACCAGCCUAUUAGAGGGGCACAGAAUUCGGAUAUAUAUAUAUAUAUGUACCUCGGUCGGAGAGGAGCGUAGGGUAUCUCUUGAGGUAUGGACAGAGUUCACGUCACGCCGAACCACCUCGUGAUGAUGAACUCUGCUAAUGCCAAGGAAUGGCUGUGUUUUUCAAACUAAAAAUAUGUUUUACGAGUAUACAAAGUUUUAACAGCCUUGGCGGGCUCGAGUGUACGCCUCUGAUCAAGGUGUCAUCGAGUACUAUUUGAUGGCAUGAGCUAAAUGUUUAUGAAAGUCAUAAGCCUUAACGAGAAAUUAAAUGAAAUACAACCAUUUGCAUAGGUUGGGAUAAAUUUUCAAAAUGUGAAAUACUUAAAAAAUGAUGGGAUAUUUUGAUUGUCUCCUUUUACUCGGUUUUAGCUGAUUUAAAUGAUGUUUGUUUACUCACUGGGAUUUUAUAAUCUCACCACCCUCCUUUCCACCCAUUUCAAGAUCAGAGUAGACUGUAGAUAGCUGAUUCCAUCGAGGGCUUCUAUUGGAUUAGCGUCUUCCACACAGUAAGUUCACAGUUUCUUAAAUUCUAGUUAUUGUGGGCCCACUUGAUAUAGUAAAUUUAUUAGUUGAUUGUGCUACAAUAUGAUGAAUUUAUUUUGCUUUUACGUUACAAAAAGUAUUUACGCAUAACUCCAAAAUUUCUGUUUAUAAGAAAAUAAAAUAUUUUAUUAAAUAUAUUCUUUUAUCUUCUUAUUAUAUUCAAAUAAUUACAAUUUCAUUUUAAAUAAAGGUUUUAGAUGCCUAAACUUAUUUUUAAUUGUGAAUUAUGCGAUUGGUACUUGUUUACUACAUUUUUAACUGGUUUCAAAAUUUUUAGUGGAAAAUGACCAAAAUGCCCCUGUGAGACAAAAAUUUUUAUUUUAUCAGUUUUAAGUUGAAAAUAGCUCAAAAUCCUUUCGAACAUAAAAUUUGGCAAUGGUUACUCACUAGGGGAAAUGCGAAAUUGAUAUUAAGCCUUACGGGAUUUCGAUUGGCAUUCCGGGAGAUGAGUGCCCAUUGAGGCACCGAGGCUGUUGUCACGGGCUCGAGGGGAGUUUCGUGUCGUGACAAUCCAAAUCUGAUCCAAGAAAGGCUUUUGACAAUCAUAUUCAAUACAAACCCUUGCCACACUUGGUCUGGUACCAUUAGCCAUAGCUUCAUCAACAACCAACUAUUUGCCCGCUAUCUUAGCAAUCCUCAAAAGAGCAUAUUUUUUAAGAAAAUGCACCUUUAGAUUAGGAAAAGAUAUCCAAACCAGAAUGAUCAAGGACUCCUUCUCCGUUUGGAAAUCUACGAACCAUUUAAAAACUCUCAUUUUUUGACUUGCAAUAAACCAUACCUAUUUAAACCAAAUACAAUUGAAAUCCUGCUUUUUCGAUAGAUAAAUCAAGAUAUGUUUGUAGUCUAACCACCGGAUCUCAUAUGCUCCGAUCAGCCCUAUCCCUUUAAAAGCCAAGCGAAUUUCCUACUGUCGAGGUGUUCUGGAAAAUUUCCCGAUUAGAGAAUGUUUGAAUGGCUAUGCCAAGACAUCAAUCUCAUCAUCAAAAAAGGCUGUAGUUGAGCGAUCUUUACACUAAAAAAGUUCUCGAGAAAAAGGCAUCAAGGGGGUUUUUUCUCUUAUCGCAACACUCAGGAAUGAUUUUUUUUGGACACGGGGAGAUACAUGAAGGUCUUCUACUGGUUGCAUGGCUUGCGGCAAGCCAUGAAUGGGUGGCAGUUGUAACUUUUGGUUUGCUGGCAGGUUGUGGGUGACCAUCAGUUGGCAUGGGGAGGCAAUAGCAACCGAUGGGAGGCCAAAGAGAGGGUUCGGUGGGCUACCAACCACCAAACCAUGAGGAUUUAGGAGGGACGGAGAAUGCAUGGGAGUUGAGAGUGUUUUCCAUUAAAAUUAUUUAAUUACUGUAUCUUAUUUACUAAAUAAACACUAAUAUUAUUUUGUUAUUUGUUUAUAAUAUAUUAUUUAUUAAUUAUUGACAAAAUUUAUUAUUUUGUAAAAUAUUAAUUACUUAUUUAUAAUAAGUAUAAGUCAUAUUUUUUUGAAAAGUAAGAAGUUUAUUGCUUGAUACCAAAGUCAAAAUAACUUUGUAUUUUAUGAAUUACAUAAAAAACUAAAAACAGAAAAUAACCCCAAAGCACUAAAAAAAAUCUAAUUUAAAGAUAUUGGAUAUCUAAUAAUAACUCUCGAUCCUAGAGUACAAUUAAAGGAUUAUAAAGCCAUUUAUGAUUUACAAUCACCAAUUAUCACUAACGGAGCUAAACCAUAGCAAUUUUCAAUCCAUUGUUUUCUGUCCAUUACCAAGAGCUAACCGUUCACACCCCACAAUCAUUUAAAGUAUUUUCCUACUACCCGUGUCUAAUUCAAUCAUAAACACCAGUGAUCCACUUGACCUAGUACUAUUUUGUAAUUAAACCAAAGAGUCAUAGUUAGGACUUUACUCAAGAUAAUUAAACUCAAUCGCAAUCUGAUAUGUACAGUCUUUAUCCAUCACUAAUCACUAAUAUGUUAAUUUUAUAUAAUAUAUAUUUAUAUGUAUUACUUUAUCAUAUAUAUAUAUAUAUAUGAAAUUAAUGGCACAACAUAUAUGUUAUAAUGUUUUAUAUCAAAGUUUGUAUAAAUAAUAACUAAUUAUAAACAAUAUGUUAUAAAAACUAAGGUGAUAAUUAAUAAAUUAAGUUAUUAAGUGUAAUCAUAUAAUUAAAGUUUAUUAUAAGUUGUUGUAAUACUUAUGUAAAAAUUAAAUAUAUAUAAUAUAUUUAUUUAAAUAUAUAUAUAUAUAUAUAUAUACAUUCAUAACAUUUUAUAUUACAAAACAUUACUAAGUUGUAAUAAACUAAUUUAUUUGAAGUAUAUAAUUUAAUUAAGUUUACUGUAAAUUCUUUUUAACUUAUAUUAACUAAUAUUAAUAUACAUCAAGUAUUAUUAUUUUUGUAUACCUUAUAUAGUUUUAUAUUUAUAUAGUACUCAUGAUUCAAUUAUCAAAAUUAUAUUAUGAAACCAAUUGUAAAGGAUGACGUACUCAAAGUAAUAUUAGAAUUAUCUGAUAUGAAUAUAAUCAAUGUAAAAUAAAAUGUCAUAUUCCUUUAUUGUAUAUAUAUAUAUAUAUAUAUAUAUAUAUAUAUAUAUUAAUGAAACAAAUUAUAAGUUAUAUAAUGUUAUAUAUAUUACAAAGUUUGUAUAACUAAUAACUAAUUGUAAAUAAUAUGUUAUAAAAACUAAGGUAAUAAUCAGUAAUAAAGUUAUUAAUGUAAACAUAUAAAUAAAAUUUGUUAUAAGCUAACAUAUAAGACAUAGGUGUAGUAAUUAUAACAUAUUAAUAUAUAUGUAGGAUAUUUAAUAUCUCAUAUAUAUAUUAACUUAUAAAGUUAUAUCAUUUAAAAUAGAUAACAGUUAAUUUCAUAUUAAUACAGAUAUAUAUAUAUAUAUAUAAUUUGUAUACAUAUAAUAAACUAAUAUAUUUUAAAUAUAUUCUACUAAUUAAAAGUUUACUAUAUAUAUUAGUCUUCUUAUAAUUUAUAUUAACUAAUAUUAGUAUGUACCUAAAAUAUUAUUAUUAAUUUUUGUUUAAUAUAUUAUUAGAUUUUAUCAUCUAUUUUCAUAAAAUUAAAAAAUUUAUUAUGUUAUUUUUAUAAAAUUUUUAAUUUUAUAACAUUAAUGAGUUUGGAACAAUUAAUUUAUAAUUUAUGAUUCAAUAAAGUUUUCAAAAUAUUUAAAAAAAUAAUAACCAAAGGAAAACAUAUUUAAAUUUUUAAUAUUAUAAAACUCAAUGUACAUAUAAUUUUAUUAAUAUAUUUCCUAUAAAGGAUUAAUAAAAUUUUAAAAAAAUCAUAAUAUAUUAGAAAUAAAAAAUUUUAAAAAUAGUAACACUAAUGAAAUUUUCCAACGGAAUAUUCUGUUGGAAAAUUUUUGUUGAUAAUGUCUUUUCCCAACGAAAAAUUCUUUGAAAAAUUUAGUAAGUUUUUAAUUUUUUUGGCGCCUUAAACUUUUCGACGGAUUUCCAACGAAUUAUUUUUCGUUGGAAAAUUCCAACGAAAAUCCGUCGAAAAUUUCCAACAAAAAUCUGUCGGAAAGUUUGGUAGGAAUAAAUGUUUUUUGUGCCAUAAAAUUUUCAAUAGAUUUCCAAUGGAAUUUGUCCAUUGGAAUUAUUCCAUUAGAAAUUUCGAACAUAAAAUUUCCAACGAAAUUUUUUCUGUUGGAAACAACUAGUUUUCUUGUAGUGGGUUUUGAAUAUGAUGCCCUCAACAAUGGAUGGAUAAGGAAAAAUGUACAUCAAGCAGAUCAAGAUCAAGGAAAAGCAACACAAGCAAUAGAUCAUAAAGAAUGGGCUAAUGAAGAUCAAUCAAAGACUGAUAAUUCAAAAACAACACCAAAUGAUUAUGAUUUGAAUACGCCUGAUUCACCAAUGGAUCGUCCAUUUCCAUAUGAACUACCUUCAAAAGCAUAUGAAGGUCCAUUUGGAUUACCCAGUAUAAAACACAUGCUUGAAGGUGCAUAUCACUUCUUUUGUGUUGAAAUGGACAAUCAAGAAAGGAUUUGGCUAGAAAAGCUUGAUGGAAUCAAUAAAAAGGUUGAUGCAAUAAUGGAGGACUAUUUUCUUACCCGGAAUGCCAACCGAAACCUUGCAAGGCUUUUGCAUCAGUUUUACUUCUCCCCUGUGAGCAACAGUUAUUAAAUAUCAUGUUUAAAGGAAAUAUAGACUAUUUUCAAAUAAAAAACAAUCAAAAAGUAAUUUCUACUACACAGGGGUAUUUUGGUCAUUUUACUCAAAAUUUUCAAACUUUGGUAAAAAUAUGAUAUACGAGUAAUAAGCAUCCAUUUCAUGUCUAAAAAUAAGUUUCGUUGUCUAAUUCAUCAAUUUAAAAUGAAGUUAUAGCUAUUUAAAUUAAAUAAAAAUAUUUCAUAAAAUAUUCCAUUUUCUUAUAAAACAAUAUUUAUAGAAUUCUACAUAAAUAAUUUUUAUAGCGUAAGAGCAAAAUAAAUUCAUACAUACAGUGGCACACGCAGCCAGGUAUACAAAAUAUUCUACAAUAACAUGUGGGUCCCAAUAUAACCAAAAUAAACACAACUGUAAACCUGCGAUUUUUAAGGGUGCGAAUCCAACAGCAAACCCUCAACAAAAUCGGCAGUCUACAGAUUUUCCUGAGCCUGAAAUAUGUGAAAGGAGGGUGGUGAGUUUUUAUAAACCCAGUAAGUAAGCAAAGUUCAUCUACAACAUCUAAAGCCGAGUAAAUGGAGACAAUUUAAAAUAUCUCAUCAUAAAAUGAUUCAUAACAUCAAAUCUCAUUUCAUUUCAUAUAAAUCAAUUUCAUUUCGUAAAAAUCAACAAGGCUUAUGAUUCCCGUAAAAACUUGGCUCGUGCCAAGAUUUACACUUGGUGACACCUUGCGCCGAGGCAUCCAACCGAGUCCGCUAAGGCUGUUAAAAUAACAUAUGAGUAUAAAACUCAUUCUUUUACAUUUAAAUGCAUAGUAGUUUGUUGGCGUUGACCGAGUUUCACCCUCACGUGGUGGUUCGGCGUGAAGUGAACUCUAACGUUAUCUUAGGAGAUACCCUCCGCGCCUCUCGUACCAAGGUAAAAUAUAAUAGGGUUUACCGUGCCCCUCUCAUAGGCUGGUCUGAGGAAACCCACCCACUGCAGUAAGCUAAUCAAAUAACCCACCAAUUUAAUAAAAUUUCAAUAGAUAACAUGGCUAAUAUGAUAUUACCAGCCUAUCAAGGCAAAGCAAAACAAUCCAUAUCUUCCACACAAACACAAAUCCAGCCAUGCUUGCCAUCAAUUCAAACCAUAUGUCAAAACAUAUAUAUAACACAAGUAUACAGUCUCCACUUACUCAAUUUCCAAAACCAGUAUUCAAUUUCAAAACAAUUUAUAAUCUCAUUUCGUUUAACCAACACUUCAACUAUAAAACAUAAUAGUUUGCAAUUUAAAUUCAUUUUUCUUUAAAACCUAAAAACGAGUAUAAACAACUUCAGAUAGUUAAGAUGAUCGUCUGAUUACUCACCUUAAUGGAAGUAUGGAGUACUCCUAUUCUUGGUCCUCGAGUACGAUAUCCUUACUCUUACCAAGGGGCUCACCACCUAUACCUAGUACACAAUAAGUAAUUUAACACAUUUGUGCCAAACUGUUAUAAAACUAUUUCAGGCUCUACAUGAAUGCAUGAAAUGGAAUGAGAAGUGUCUAAAUAAUCACUUAAAGACGGUGUUCUACGUAGGUUCAAUUGUGAUCGGAAUGAAUUUGUAUUCGACCUAAUUCAAACUAUACACCAUUGAUUUAACCAAAACAUCCGAUUCAACUCCAAAUAUAUUCAUUACACUUCCAAUAUUCCAAUUACACCCAAAGUACCUCAAUGAACUCGAUUUUCUCAUUGUUGUUCAAAUCGUUUACUAAAGGAACAAUACGUUUUCAUAACCGUUUUCAAUAUCCGGCACCACAAUUCAUCAAAUACGAGUUAAAUAACAUGAGAUAUAACAAGAUUCAUCAUCAAUAUGUCCUUUAGUAAAUUCGUCCAAGGAGGGUUUGAUGAAGAAUGUGUGGUUUUCAUGCUUGUUUCUCACACCAAAUAUCACAAAACAACUAAAAACGCGUAUAUAGCAUGAAAUCUAACAAAACCCGUGAUCAAAACCUCUCCCCCUAGGUUUGGCCAGCAAACUUUCCUUCAUGAAAUCUUGAGUUUCAACCAUAGAAAAUGAAAAAGAAAUCAUAGGAAAGGUAGAUCUUAAGCUAAAAUUAGAAAAUCUUACCUUUACUUGCUUGAUUCCUUGAAAUCCAACAAUUUCUCUUGAAUUUUUCCUUUCUAGGGUUUGUUCUUCUCUUUUUCUCUUUGUUCCCUUGCUUGGCC